AUUGAACGCUGGCGGCAGGCCUAACACAUGCAAGUCGAACGAGUGGCGGACGGGUGAGUAAUGUCUGGGAAACUGCCCGAUGGAGGGGGAUAACUACUGGAAACGGUAGCUAAUACCGCAUACCACCGUUUGUGCCCUGAUGGGUUUAGCUGGUAGGUGGGGUAACGGCUCACCUAGGCUACGAUCCCUAGCUGGUCUGAGAGGAUGACCAGCCAAACGGGAACUGAGAAACGGUCCAGCCUCCUACGGAAGGAAGCGGUGGGGAUUAUUGCACAAUGGGCGCAAGCCUGAUGCAGCCAUGCCGCGUGUAUGAAGAGGGCCUUCGGGUGGUAAGGUACUUUCAGCGGGGAGGCGUUACUCGAAGAGGAAGCAACGGCUAACUCCGUGCCAGCAGCCGCGGUAAUAC
rnacentral:rRNA from 1 species